UCCUUAAUAGCUCAGAUGGUAGAGCGGUUGGCUGUUAACUAAUUGGUCGUAGGUUCGAGUCCUUCUUAAGGAG
rnacentral:tRNA from 1 species